AACGAACGCUGGCGGCAGGCUUAACACAUGCAAGUCGAGCGCCCCUUCGGGGGAGCGGCAGACGGGUGAGUAAUGCAUGGGAAUCUACCCAGCUCUACGGAAUAACUCAGGGAAACUUGAACUAAUACCGUAUGCGCCCUUCGGGGGAAAGAUUUAUCGGAGUUGGAUGAGCCCAUGUCUGAUUAGCUAGUUGGUGGGGUAAAGGCCUACCAAGGCGACGAUCAGUAGCUGGUCUGAGAGGAUGAUCAGCCACACUGGGACUGAGACACGGCCCAGACUCCUACGGGAGGCAGCAGUGGGGAAUAUUGGACAAUGGGCGCAAGCCUGAUCCAGCCAUGCCGCGUGAGUGAUGAAGGCCCUAGGGUUGUAAAGCUCUUUCACCGGUGAAGAUAAUGACGGUAACCGGAGAAGAAGCCCCGGCUAACUUCGUGC
rnacentral:rRNA from 1 species